rnacentral:rRNA from 1 species
GAAAGCGUGGGUAGNGAACAGGAUUUAGAUACCCUGGUAGUCCACGCCGUAAACGAUGAGUGCUAGGUGUUAGGCCCUUUCCGGGGCUCAGUGCCGGAGCUAACGCAAUAAGCACUCCGCCUGGGGAGUACGACCGCAAGGUUGAAACUCAAAGGAAUUGACGGGGGCCCGCACAAGCGGUGGAGCAUGUGGUUUAAUUCGAAGCAACGCGAAGAACCUUACCAGGUCUUGACAUCCCGAUGCUAUUCUUAGAGAUAGGAAGUUACUUCGGUACAUCGGAGACAGGUGGUGCAUGGUUGUCGUCAGCUCGUGUCGUGAGAUGUUGGGUUAAGUCCCGCAACGAGCGCAACCCUUAUUGUUAGUUGCCAUCAUUAAGUUGGGCACUCUAGCGAGACUGCCGGUAAUAAACCGGAGGAAGGUGGGGAUGACGUCAAGUCAUCAUGCCCCUUAUGACCUGGGCUACACACGUGCUACAAUGGUCGGUACAACGAGUUGCGAGCCGGUGACGGCAAGCUAAUCUCUGAAAGCCGAUCUCAGUUCGGAUUGGAGGCUGCAACUCGCCUCCAUGAAGUCGGAAUCGCUAGUAAUCGCGGAUCAGCACGCCGCGGUGAAUACGUUCCCGGGCCUUGUACACACCGCCCGUCACACCACGAGAGUUUGUAACACCCGAA